GGUGUGUGAGUGUGUGGGCGUGGAAGUCACCUGAUAACAACUACCACUGACGGGGCUCUAGAGGCUGUGGCCCCACAGCCUCUAGAGCCCCAUAAAACACCCAAAAAGAAGAAGAAGUCGUGUGCAGUGGGCGUGUCUUGAGAGGCGAGGCGGAGGAAAGUGUAGUCUGGCAUGUCUUGCUGACGGUCUUGGGGACAGUCCAGCGGUGAAGCCGAAAAGGCCCCGAUGCAGCGUGGCAGCCUCCUGCUGUGCGCCGGGCUGUAAGAGCAGGAACACUGUGGACUGCAAGCUCACCCUCCACAUGUGUCAGGUUCCUGCACAGGUGAACGGAGGUGGAGUCACGGCUUUGGGGCGGCUUGCUAAAAAGCUACAGUCACACUGACUUCACGACCUGCUAACGACCACCUGCGACCUCAAAAUGCUGCGAUUCACACCCACCGCUCCCCGACCACAUAGGUGGCAAAGUAGUCGUGCGACUGAACGGCUACCGGUGGUCGUUUAGUGUCCGUCCAGUGGGCGGCCGGACGGCAAGAUUCACACCUUGGCCUCACACCUGGAGUCAGGCCAAGACGCCCACCAUACGCUGACCGGUGGCCGACAGGCAAGGACCAGUACACGUCCUGUCGCAAUGAGGACGGCGACCUCCCUUAACGAGCUGCAGCUGACGUGUUACAGUACAUAAUAUCUUCACCCAGUUAUAUUACACAUUUCCCAUUCUUAUUUCUGUAAAUUAUUUGUAAAAAAAAGUUACUUAUAAAGGUAAUGAAAGUAUCCUGUACUUCACUGCAGCAAAAGACGGAUAUUUGUGACCCCCCCGCCGCCCCCUAUGUGCCGCAG